rnacentral:tRNA from 2 species
GCCCCCAUAGCUCAGGUGGAUAGAGCGACGGAUUCCUAAUCCGCAGGCCGCGUGUUCGAGUCGCGCUGGGGGCACCA